rnacentral:piRNA from 1 species
UUAGAACAAAUUAUCAGUUAGUAUGAGGCC